UACAGAGGUCUCAAGCGUUGUUCGGAUUCAUUGGGCGUAAAGGGCGCGUAGGCUGCGGGGCAAGUCGGGUGUGAAAUCUCAGAGCUCAACUCUGAAACUGCACUCGAUACUGCUUUGCUCGAGGACUGGAGAGGAGAUUGGAAUUCACGGUGUAGCAGUGAAAUGCGUAGAUAUCGUGAGGAAUACCAGAGGCGAAGGCGGCUCCCUGGACAAUUGCUGACGCUCAGGCACGAAAGCGUGGGGAGCAAAAAGGG
rnacentral:rRNA from 1 species